AAGACAUACAUGGAGCGUGGAGGGUCCACUGUGGGCCACUGUCCUGCUGUUGGGGUGAGGGAGCAAAGACAGGAUCAAGAGGGCGUGAAACCGUUAAGAGGUAAACGGAUGGGGUCCGCGCCGUCCGCCCGGGCGCACUUCCUCCGGCUGCGGUGCGCCGCGACCGGCUCUGGGUCGGCUAGGAAGGGCUCGGGGGUGAAGGUGGCUACCCGCUUCGGCGGAGAGCUUUACAGCACCCCAUCGUCCCGACUUCGCCGUUUCCCCUUUUCACCUCUGCGCCUUCUCUCACCCUUGGGGGAGGAAUGGGGCCCCCCGUCCCCGACGCGGCUGUCGAACAGACGGGGGUCAGCAUGUCCAGAGCAAAAAUGGCAUUAGUGAACACACGUCCCGUUUUCAGGGGGCCCUGA
rnacentral:lncRNA from 1 species